rnacentral:rRNA from 1 species
UACAGAGGUCCCAAGCGUUGUUCGGAUUCACUGGGCCUAAAGCAUCCGUAGCCGGUUCUACAAGUCCUCCGUUAAAUCCAGCUGCUUAACAGAUGGGCUGCGGAGGAUACUAUAAGACUAGGAGGCAGGAGAGGCAAGCGGUACUCAGUGGGUAGGGGUAAAAUCCGUUGAUCCAUUGAAGACCACCAGUGGCGAAGGCGGCUUGCCAGAAUGCGCUCGACGGUGAGGGAUGAAAGCUGGGGGAGCAAACCGG